CAUCUUUUGUCUCGUGUUAUUGUCUGAUGCAGCUAGCUAUCCAGCUUGAUUCGGCAAACAAGUAGCUGGCAAAAGCUACGUUACUUUUGAAAUUAUAGCAAAGUACUCAUAACCAAAGCGCAUAAAGAAUGAGAAGAGUUACGUUGUUUAUUAACGGGACAUCUAAAAAUGGCAAGGUUGUAGCAGUGUACGGGACCUUGUCCGACUUACUAUCCGUAGCAAGCAAUAAGUUAGGAAUCAAAGCCUCUAGUUUUUACAAUGGAAAGGGUGGUCUUAUAGAUGACAUUGCCCUUAUAAGAGAUGACGACGUGCUGUAUGUAUCGGAAGGAGAUCCAUUUAUCGAUCCUCAAAAUGAAGCCAAAGUCAGAUCUGAUCCGCAUGGGGCGCACACUGAUUGGCUGACCCUCAAUAUUGGUGGGCGUCUCUUCACCACCACCAGGAGCACUUUGGUCAGCAAGGAGCCAGAGAGUAUGCUUGCUCACAUGUUUCGAGAGAAAGAUGUGUGGGGGAACAAGCAGGACAAGCACGGGGCUUAUCUAAUCGACCGCAGCCCCGAAUACUUUGAGCCAAUUCUAAACUACUUGAGACAUGGUCAGCUCAUUAUCAAUGAAGGCAUAAAUAUACGAGGUGUCCUCGAGGAGGCUCGAUUCUUUGGGAUUGAGCAGCUUGCUGAACAACUGGAAGUAGCAAUCAAGAACUCGCAGCCACCAGAGGACCACUCUCCCAUUUCCCGCAAGGAGUUUGUUCGCUUUCUUCUGGCAACACCCACCAAGUCAGAGCUCCGCUGUCAGGGACUUAAUUUCAGUGGUGCUGAUCUGUCCCGACUUGACCUGCGCUACAUUAAUUUUAAAAUGGCCAAUCUGAGCCGCUGCAAUCUGACACACGCCAACCUGUGCUGUUCCAAUCUGGAGCGGGCUGAUCUUUCUGGAGCCAACCUUGAUGUAAGUCUGGGAACUCUUUUCUUGUCAGCACUAAAUGAUUCAUGUGCACAUACAGUAUCAGAUGAUACAAGGUAAGUGGAGAAUGCACUCAAAAAGUUUUCCACACUGUGGGGAAGCAAAUAUUUCCUUUUUCUAAGUUGUGUGUAUCAUUUUUGUGUUAUUUUUAGUUGUUAGCCUUCCUGCUGGUGAGCAAUGGACUUGGCUUUUGUUUUGCAGCCACUUCACACCUGCUGCUCCCUCACUUGUGUGGAGGAAGGGCUAUUCUUUUCUUAAACAUGUUUGCCAAUGCUACACACCUACUCUCAGUCACCCCAUUGAAAAAAUAACAGACUGUUUUUUCCUCAGUCUGCUGAUGUGAUAUGAAUAUCCUGUAAGAUGUGACUUAAUAUUUGCAUACGCAAUAAAGCAUGAUGGCUGUUGGAGGUUUGGUUUGUCUCUUGAAGGGUGCUAACUUACAAGGGGUGAAGAUGCUCUGUUCCAAUGCCGAGGGGGCUUCUCUCAAAGGAUGCAAUUUUGAAGAUCCAUCUGGACUGAAGGCCAACCUGGAAGGUGCUAACCUGAA